CUGAAGCAACUUAGCAUGCUUAUCCCAGGAUAUUGAAUAUACAGGAGGACCCUGUUGUUUAACCACUCUAUAUGUAAUAAUUUGCAUCUACCAAUCCCAGCCUCCCUCCUCAUCCCUCCCCUACCUGCCCCACCUUGGCAACCACAAGUCUGCUCCCUACGUCUAUGAGUCUGUUUUGAAGAUAAGCUCAUUUGUGUCAUAUUUCAGAUUCCACAUAUAAGUGAUAUCAUGUGGUGUUUGUCUUUCUGACUUACUUCCCUUAGUGUGAUCAUCUCUAGUUGCUUUUCUUUUCCCUUAGUUUUUCAGGGAACCAAGCCCUCUGGUGGAUGCCUUUCUGGGGAAACGAAGAAAGAGAGAGGCUGACGGAGGCAGAGCCACUGAAAGGUCUACCGGCGCUGUGCAGGCCCUGCCCACUUCCUUUCUCUUGCAGUGCAGCCCUUCCAACCUGAGGUCGUAGAGGAACUGAGGCUGCAGAGGGCGGGGUGGGAAUCCCACGGGUCCAGGGUCACCACACCCACAUCCAGAAGUGAAUUCUUCUGCUUAUUUCUGUCCACGGGACCGAACAGCCACCGACAUCCACCGGACCAGCAUCACCCAGGGGAGCUGGCCUUCGUCCUGGACUCUCCUGGCCUCAGAGGAAUCCAGAUCACAGUUGGCGGGGUUAGAUUGCUCAGGCCAACUGAUCCCUUCAGAGAUACACAAACUAGGGCUUGUGGAAUCUCAGGGCGAAUACAGAACACGCUGGCAGCCAGAUCACCUGACCUCCCCCCGCCCCAGGGUGGGGGUUGUCUGACCACCCCAUCACCUGACCUCAGGUCACCACCCUCCCCUGCAGUGUGGUUCUCUACUGCAUAACAUAAUAUAAUCACGGAGUAACUCCCGAGGACAGGGGCAGAGAUCACGCGGCCGCCUGAGAAUUCUGCCUUCAACAGGGCUGGAGGCUCCCGUCCCCCUCACCUGGCCAGACCCCCAGGCCAGCUCCUGGGAGGAAGUGUCCUUCUCAGCUCUUGACUGCCCCUAAUUACUCAGCGAGGUUGGACCAGACCUCCCAAUACAUCGAUUAGAACAGGGUGGUGGACAGGCCGGUGGGUGGACGGCUUUUGUCUCCCAGAGGCGAGUUCCCUCCCACCCAGCUGGCCCAGAUCCGCGUGUCUCAGCCUGUGGUUUCGGUGUCCAAGCCUCGAGUGCAGAGAUGCCCGUGGGACGCCAAGAGGGAAGAUGUUCGAACGCUUGACAGUUCUAACGGUGGUGCCCUUCCAGCCAGGAUCCCCCGGCACCCCAUUCUGUUCUAUUCUUUUAUUUGGCCAUGUCAGGUGGCUUGUGGGAUCUCAGUUUACUGAUGAGGUACUGAACCUGGGCCACUGCAGUGAAAGCCCAGAAUCGUAACCACUGGGCCACCAGGGAGCUACCCACCCCCACUGGACACACACACUUUCAUUUUGCAUUUCUACCUGGUUCCCUCAAACUUUACUACGCCUUAACUUUAAUAAAUAUUUAUUGAGAGCAAGCUCA
rnacentral:lncRNA from 1 species